rnacentral:lncRNA from 1 species
GUAAGUUUUACUUCCCUGAGCCAUUUUUGUGGUUCCUCCACACUGUGGGUGAUAACAAGUAAAUGAAUGUCGGGUAAUCGAUACACUGGUUGAGUUUCCUUCUUUUGGUUAUUUGCUUCCUGGUAUGUCUGCAGAUCCACAAAGAAUAGUCAGCCCCUUAAACAAAACAAACUGGAGCUUAACAGCUUGUUUGGAUUGUUGUUACAUAUCGUUUCAUAAUGUAUCUAUCAUAUUGUAUUGUAUUGUAUUGUUUGAUAAAUACAACGUUUGGAUUGAUUGUAUCGUUUGCUGUCGAUUCAUGAUGUCACACACUAAAAAUAUGAAGAAUAAACUUGCAACAUUAUUAAGAAAAAAUAGAAUACAAAGUAGAAUUAUUAUAUAAAAAAGUAGGUUAAAUAAUAAAAUAUGAUUUUUCAAUAAUAAGGAAGGGCAAGAUGAUAGGAAAAAGCAAGGAAACUACGUCACCAAACCAAAUCUGCCGUUUCAUAAAUUGACACUUUUCAUUGUUAUGAAACGAUGAAUUUAACUAUACGAUACAAUAAGAUUUAAGUAACAAUUGAAACAAACAUUGUAUUAAAAGUAAAUAUACAAUACAAUAUAAUGGGUAACAACCAUCCAAAGAAGCUGUUAGUUGAUAUACUGAAAGCUGUAUCACCAACCAACAUAGUGGUUGCAAUUGAACCAUAGUUGAUGGUUGACUAGGAUAUCAAUUUGCUUUUGUGGAUCUAGGCAAUAACAACAACAUACCCAGUAUAUUCUCAUAAGUUGGGUCAGGGGAGGGUAGUUUGUACCUAGACCUUACCUUUACCUUGUGUAGGUAGAGAGGCUAUUUCCGAUAGACCGUCGGCUCAGGUAAGCACAAUAUCAGCAGUAAAGAAAUGCAAUAUAAAAAAGUGAACAAGUCAUGGAAAGGAAACAUAUGCAAUAGGAUCUAGGGAAGUUAGUCUAACGUGAAAUUUGGAUAUCAUCUUAAAGUAUACCUUCAGUAGACAUGGUUAUUGGUCCUAUAUUGCAUUUGUUUCUUUUUUUCGGAAGCAACUAAUUUAUUUGAAUGGAAAUUGAGGGUAGUAUUUUCUAUUGCUUUUUUUGUUGUUGCAGGUCCAGCAUUAGUGAUAGUGGCAUUGGAAUGAUAUGCAAUGUAUUCCCAGAGACAUUGUCUAAACUUCUCAUUGCUGUUUGUCCAAAUAUCACUUCAAGUAAACAUUCAUAUCUGCUUCCUUGAUUAUCCAACCCAGCAACCUGUUGCAUGUUCACUAAUUUGUUUGGAAUUUGUGUUGGAUUCUUUUAGGUGGCAUUCAAUUUGCUACAGCUCAGUUGCCUAAUCUAGAGCUAAUGGACUGUGGUAUGACCAUUUGUGAUCCGAAUCUAGACAGUACAACUCAGGAAAAUAAUGAUCUCCAGUUACAAAGAACUUCAAACAGUAAAAUGCACCUUAUAUAUCAAAAACUGAUUAUUAAACAUACCCGCUUGAAGAAACUCAGCUUAUGGGGUUGCUCUGGAUUAGAUGUGAGAUUCUUCAGUCAAUAGCAUCUAAGCUUUCCUUGUCUCCUUUCUGCUUUAG